UACGGGGGGAGCAAACGUUGUUCGGAAUCACUGGGCUUACAGGGUGCGUAGGCGGCCAGAUAAGUAGGGUGUGAAAUCCCCCGGCCCAACCGGGAACUGCGCUCUAAACUAUCUGGCUUGAGUGAGCUAGGGGUCCACGGGAACUUCCAGUGGAGCGGUGAAAUGUGUUGAUAUUGGAAGGAACACCGGAGGCGAAAGCGGUGGACUGGGGCUUAACUGACGCUGAGGCACGAAAGCCAGGGGAGCGAACGGG
rnacentral:rRNA from 1 species